GACGCUUCGUCGUCAAGCAGAAGUACGAAAAUUUGGUAACUGAAUGUGCGUUUUGUUUCCUCCACAGAAUUGGGAACGGAUUGGCCUCAACCUGGAUCAUUACUAUCAUUACAACUAGCUCAAUAUCACCCGACCGCAACUUCUCCUGGAACCGAUCGGGUCCGGAAUCAGUUUGAAUGUCGCAUUCGCAUAAUUGCACGCACUAACCUGCAAAGGAAAGAGAAAACAAAGUUCAAUAAAGCAUUACAACAAGUGUUAUUUCAGCGGGCCGCUGGAAGGCAAUUGCAAAUCGCAGUUCCAGCGCAAAUGGACCCGAUCGCGCGAGCAGCCUAACUCCGGCUGGUUGGUUGGAGUAAACAAGAAGAGCACAAUUUCGUAUCCCGAGAUAGAGUUACAUUCCUUAAGUAACUUCAUUGAUAUUCCAGGAAGGUUAAAGGUAAGUUCUAGA